rnacentral:rRNA from 1 species
AACGAACGCUGGCGGCAUGCCUAACACAUGCAAGUCGAACGAGACCUUCGGGUCUAGUGGCGCACGGGUGCGUAACGCGUGGGAACCUGCCCUUAGGUUCGGAAUAACUCCCCGAAAGGGGUGCUAAUACCGGAUAAUGUCUUCGGACCAAAGAUUUAUCGCCUUUGGAUGGGCCCGCGUUGGAUUAGCUAGUUGGUAGGGUAAAAGCCUACCAAGGCGACGAUCCAUAGCUGGUCUGAGAGGAUGAUCAGCCACACUGGGACUGAGACGCGGCCCAGACUCCUACGGGAGGCAGCAGUGGGGGAUAUUGGACAGUGGGCGGAAGCCUGAUCCAGCUAUGCCGCGUGAGUGAUGAAGGCCUUAGGGUUGUAAAGCUCUUUUACCCGGGAUGAUAAUGACAGUACCGGGAGAAUAAGCUCCGGCUAACUCCGUG